AGGAUGAACGCUGGCGGCGUGCCUAACACAUGCAAGUCGAGCGGUAAGGCCUCUUCGGAGGUACACGAGCGGCGGACGGCUGAGUAACGCGUAGGAAUCUACCCCAAACUGAGGGAUAAGCACCAGAAAUGGUGUCUAAUACCGCAUAUGCUCUUCGGAGUAAAGCUACGGCGGUUUGGGAAGAGCCUGCGUCCGAUUAGCUUGUUGGUAAGGUAAUGGCUUACCAAGGCGACGAUCGGUAGCUGGUCUGAGAGGAUGAUCAGCCACACUGGGAUUGAGAACGGCCCAGACUCCUACGGGGGGCAGCAGUGAGGAAUUUUCGUCAAUGGGGGAAACCCUGAACGAGCAACGCCGCGUGCAGGAAGACACUUUUCGGAGCGUAAACUGCUUUUCUCGGGGACGAGUAAGGACGGUACCGAGGAAUCAGCCCCGGCUAACUACGUGCCAGCAGCCGC
rnacentral:rRNA from 1 species